AUUGAACGCUGGCGGCAGGCCUAACACAUGCAAGUCGAACGAGUGGCGGACGUGUGAGUUAGGUCUGGGAAACUGCGUGAGGGAGGAGGUUAGCUACUGGAAGCGGUUGCUAAUACCGCAUAGCAUCGCAUGGGCCCAGAUGGGAUUAGCGAGUUGGUGGGGUAACGGCUCACCAAGGCGACGAUCCGUACCUGGUCUGAGAGGAUGAUCAGCCACACUGGAACUGAGACACGGUCCAGACUCCUACGGGAGGCAGCAGUGGGGAAUAUUGCACAAUGGGCGCAAGCCUGAUGCAGCCAUGCCGCGUGUAUGAAGAAGGCCUUCGGGUUGUAAAGUACUUUAAGUGGGGAGGCGUUACCAGCAGAAGAAGCACCGGCUAACUCCGUGCCAGCAGCCGCGGUAAUUC
rnacentral:rRNA from 1 species